CACAGAGAGUCAAGAUGUAGGAAGCCCGGAAACCUCUCUGGGAGAACCAGGUAGAUGGCCGAUUGCAGCAUCUUCCUGGAAACCUAGAAAAGAUGGAGAGAAGAAUUUGGAGGCAGCUUGGUGACUCAUGGACACAAAGGAGCUAAGAAAGUAUCUCACACUUCACUUCUGAAGACUGAAUCUCAAAUCUGCCAAGUAUGAGGUCCAGCCUCCUUUUAAGCAUCAGUUAACGGAGACAUAAAGCCCACGUGUGAAAAUCUGGUGCACCUACAAGGAGACACAUUUGAGCUCCACACUGAAAACAAGAAUGUACAACACAGAUUGCAUGGCAAACCCAAGUGACGCGACAGAUAAUGAUUUAUUCACGAAGUUCACCGGUUAUCAUUUUGCUUUAAUACUGGAAGGAUUUUGCGCUUAAUUUUAUCCUGGAGUAACAUUAUGUAGUUGGAUUUUAUGUAUAAAAACAAACAGGCUUUACUGCUUAUAAAAUUUUUGAUCAGGUGACUUUACCAUUGAAUAGAUUAAGAACUCUGUGCAACUGUCUACUUAUCUACAGCUAGUCAAGCUACAAUGUCUGUGCCUUGCACACACACACACACACACACACACACACACACACACACACACACACACUGGAUUUUGCAGGUCCCUCAAGUCUUCCAGACAUCCGUCCAGUUCCAAAAGCCCUUCUUACCAUGUCUGUGCAUUCUGUUAUCUGGAAUUCAAUGUCAGCUAUGAAUAUGUGGCUACCUGUCACACUUGUGUCACCAAAUUUGCAUGAUGUCUUAAGGUUUUACUCUUUAUAGUUAUAUUCGCUUGUGAAAAGUGAGGUUCAAGUGUUCAUCUGAAUAGAACUAUAUUUAUAGUGAGAACAGGUGGUUUCUAUAAAUCUGUAUUUUUGCAUCAAUAAAACUUGGUAUAAAUCGGCGGCAAAUUAAUUUUUUUUCUUUUGUGUAGACAAGCUUCUGUUUGUGAAAUUUAGGCAUGUUUGCCAUACUCAUUCCACUUCACUGGAA